rnacentral:lncRNA from 1 species
UACACCCACAAUCACCACACUCUGACCCCCGCAAAGACCACAGAGGAGUAGGAAGAGGGCUGCCCUCGUACUCCCCAAGCCACCCCCGCCUCUGAGCGCGGAGGCACGAUGUUCUGGGGCUCGAGCCUUCGCAUCCACCGGGCCAGCGCUAACCACCGGCCGCCGCCCUGGAGGGGACCCGGCGGCCCCGCCACGUGCGGCUGCGAGUUUCAGACCCGCUUCCGGGGGGCGGCGGCCGUCGGAGGCCUGGGUUGGGGGGUCGUGAGCCGGAUGUUCCCCGCAGCUGGCCAGAAAGCUGCCUCUGAGCCUCUUGAGCAACUCCCUGCCUCCUCCGGUAGUCUCUCUGGACUCUCCAAGUGACUUGCUGGGGGCACCGGGCGCGGGGAGGGCAGGCCCCCGGGGUGACGCAGGUGUGUACUUUACAGCCAGAGAAGGCCUAGCUUUCAGGGACAUUGGCUUAGUUUGUUGGGUGAGACGUGGGGGUGGAGAAUGGGAGCACUGUCUCUUUGCCAAAUUUUCCAGAGAAACCCCGGGACUAGCUCUGUCCCUGGUGCCCCGGCUACUGCCAGCGGGUCCUUAGCGCUGUCGAUUGCGCGCACCGGAGCCCGAAGUCUUCCCCACCGCUGGCAGGAGAGCCCCGCGAGCUCUCCCGGACGUGUCGGGUCCUAAAGGGGAGAGCUGAGCAGCCACUUCAGGGAUUGCACUCCGAGGUGGCCGAGGCAGGGAGGAGCGCUGGCCCCGCGAAGGAGGCCUCAACCUUAGGACAACCCGGGCGUCCCGGGCGAAGGUCUCGAUCUGCCGGAGCCACUGCCUUUCAGGCAUCGCUCCAUUAAAGCCAGGGAGGAGAGGGUCAUUGGCCAGCGACCCGCCCUCCUUACGUCCGGAGGUCACCCCACGCCUACAGGCAGGUUUUUCUGUCUCCUUUGCAGAACACUAUGCGUUUGUUACAACGAUUAAAUGAAGAACACAGAAGUCUCUGGCUCUGCCGGGCAGAACGCCUCUUAAGAGUAUCGCAGCUAAAAAGUGGGUUGGCUGUAAGCUGAUAAUCAGGUAGCUGUGGUCAGACACCCACUCCAGAACCUCUGCUACUCAGAGACCAUGUUAUCACACGCGACGUCCAUUAGGCCCCAGUAAUCCGCUAUCAACGCAUUUUAGAGCCAUUUGAAUGUUAAGGAGAUUUUUAUUAAUGGUCCAUGAUCCUAAAAUGUGACUAUUGGUUCUAGGAACAGAUUUUAACAACUCAAGGCUGUGAUGAGUGAUUUUCUGAUUUCUGUGCAGCCUAAGGCCUCAGGAGAUUUCAUCUGGGAGAUUGGGGGCAAGACCUAAGCCCUCACCCCACCAAGGACCUGUCUCUAAAGGGUACUUUCCAGCUUUUACCUGGGGAAACUGAGAUAGAGGGGGAGCAGGCCUGUGGCUCCUAAAGGCAGCAUUUGAAGGUCCUUUAAUGGGGAGACCAGGGGGACAAAAAAAGCAAUCAACAAUUGUAUGGCUACUAGAAACUGGCAUCUUAUUUUUAAAGAAGCCCUCAGCUGGAAAUGUCACCUAGUGAUGUCAAGUAGACUAAGAAAUUCUUAAUCAAAAGGCCCCCUUUGCACACCUGCAGUAGGCAAACUGAGGCAGGAGCAGUAGAGGUAGCAGGUAGCAGAGGAUUCUGAUUCUUGAAUACCUUUUUUUCCUUGUGGUGCUGAAACAGAAGUCAAUCCAAACUUUGCCCACUUACCAUUAUAUUUUCAGUGGGAUUCUUUUUUGUUUUCUUUGUUGUUGCUGUUGUUUUUUCUUUCAAAAUACCGUGUUUCCACUAAGAAUUAAAAGAAAAGGGGUGGGGAGAUUAAGGAAUAAAAGUGAGUCAUAGACCUCAUGCUGUUUGACUUUCCCUCUAGGAGAAAAACAAAAUUUGAAGCGACCCUCCCCCUAGUGAUAGCCUGGCUUCCCUGGCACCUGCAGUUAUCUUUGACCAAAUGGGUUGGACUUGGUAGGGAUCCUUUAUUUGAAUUUGCUUACUGUUUGUUUGCAGUUGACAGCAGGUUGGUUUUUAAACAUAAAACACACUGCUUGCAAGAGAGGAAGUCUGGCUGUUUCUCUUUAGCAUUGGGGGGCCUCCCUUGGUUGUAAGGACUGCUGCUUAGU